UACGUAGGGUGCAAGCGUUGUCCGGAAUUAUUGGGCGUAAAGAGCUCGUAGGCGGUUUGUUGCGUCGGCUGUGAAAUCCCGAGGCUCAACCUCGGGUCUGCAGUCGAUACGAGCAAACUAGAGUGUUGCAGGGGAGACUGGAAUUCCUGGUGUAGCGGUGAAAUGCGCAGAUAUCAGGAGGAACACCGGUGGCGAAGGCGGGUCUCUGGGCAUUCCCUGACGCUGAGGAGCGAAAGUGUGGGGAGCGAACAGG
rnacentral:rRNA from 1 species